rnacentral:lncRNA from 1 species
UAUUCUUUUUUUUAUGUGUGUAAAUUAACAUUGUGGGAUAAUGUUUUGUAAGCACCAUUUGAUCAAUGUCUCGAAAAUGACGUUUUAUAUGUCUGACUAUCUGCAGAAUUGUUUCCUUCUAUGACGUUGAUAAAGUCUUAACCACAUUUUAUACAUCAGACCCUUUGGUAUUACUGUUGGAAAGAACAAUUACGGUAAGAGGAAAAGAAAAUGAAGGAGAGAGACGAGGAGGAAGAAAACGGUACGUCAAUAUUCAUAUUAAAACUUAAGAUACAAAAUGUGAUACAUAUGUUUAAUGAACUGUCAUUCAAAAGUUCAUAAUCUGAAGCAUAACAUAAUCAAUAGGUUUGGGAACCUCUGUACCAUAUGCAAGUUAUCCUGUAUCUCAGUUUUUGUAAAAUAUUUCAUGAAAUACCAUCAUCACAAACAUGUGAAAACUCAUGAUCUGCAGGUGAUAAAUUCCAAUGCAGCAAGAAGUGGGAUAUUCGUGUGCAAAGAGUUUGAAUUGUGAUGCAGGGUAGUGGAAUUCAUGCGCGCCUAGAAUCAACCAUCAAUAAGCUGUUGCUGUAUAUAUAAACAUUUGGCCUCACGGUGCAACAGUAAGUGUUGUGCCUAUUAAUACA